GAGGGCCACCACUUCAUUUACAUGGAGUGGACACCAAAUAACUAAUAGGAAACCUCUAGUGGGUAUUUAGACCCCAGAAGAUUCUGUAAAAGGGGCCCUUGAGCCACUGCUUGGGCCUGCUCCCACCCUGGAGAAUUAUACUUUCAUUUUCAAUAAAUUCCUGCUUUUGUUGCUUAUUACUUUCUUGCUCUGCUGUGCAUUUUUUCCCAUUCUUUGUUUCAAUUAUUUGCAAAAUGCCUUAUCUUGGCAUAAAUAGUUCUUGAUGCAAAGAACCUGAACAGCUUGCAGUCAAGACCCUCUACUGGUAACAUGUUUUGGAGACCCAGCCAGGAGGUAAGCCCAAAGUUUGGGAUUUAUUUUUCUCCUCUCCCCUUUUUUUCUCUGCUGUAUAUAGGGGAAUCUUUCUUUCUCACUCUCUCUUUUCCUUUCCAUAUCAGGAUGCUUGGUGCACAGCAUCUAAGAACAAAAGCAAUUGCAAGUUGCUGGCCAGGGCCACUCUAGUAAAACAGAAAGGUUUCCAUGCAGAAGCCCCUGACCACCACCACCCAGUUCAGUAGUAUUUCCAAUUUGAGGCUCACGGCAUCCUGCAAAGCUUCCCCAAAGCUCUGGCACUCCCCAAAGGAAUCUCAAGGCCCUGGAGAGAAGGAAGAAAGGAAAGUUGUUUCCAGUGCUACUGAUAUCACACUCCAGUCACAGAGGCACCCAGAGGCCACCAGCCCUGUUCACCCAGUCUUGCAGAAUCAAAUUCAAACUCCUUACCAUGGCCCAAAAGUCCAGCGUCACAUUCCGGCUGUCACCUCAGCCCUUACCCUGCCACUCUCACUACUUUCUGUUGCCACCAAGCUGACCUUCCUGCUGAGUGGACCCCAUCAAUCUUACAGUUCCUUCUUAGACAUCCUUCCUGUGAAAUCCACAUGGGCUGCACCACAAAGGAUGCUCAGCCUCACCAAUCCUUAAGGAAAUGCGGAUGGAAACUGCAAUGAGAUAUACUCAUCAGGGUGUAUCACGCCUGUUAGGAUGGCUAAGAGCAAAGUAAACAGAAAAGAACAAGUGUAUUAAGGAUGUGGAGAAAUUGAGAGCCUCAGGCACUGUUGGUGGGAGUGUGAAAUUGUGCAGCUGCUGUGGAAAACAGUAUGGUGGUCCCUCAAAAAAUGAAACACAGAACUACCUUAUAUCCAGCAAUUCCACUUCUGUGUACAUAUCCAAAAAGAGCGGAAAGCAGACCCCUUGAACAGAUAUUUGUACGUCCUUGUUUACAGCAGCAUUAUUCAUAGUAACCAACAGGUAGAAGCAACCCAAGAGUCUACUGGCAAAAGAACAGAUCAACACAAUGGGGCAUAUCCAUACAAUGGAAUAUUAUUCGGCCUUACAUAGAAGAAAAUUCUGACAUACAACAUGGCUUAACCUUGAAGACAUUAUCCCAAGUGAGAUGAACCAGUCAAGGCCAGGCACAGUGGCUCAUGCCUGUAAUUUCAGCACUUUGGGAGGAUGAAGCGGGAGGAUCAUGAGUUCAGGAGUUUGAGACCAGCCUGGCCAACAUGGUGUAACUAUUGGAACCUUGCCUCUACUACAAAUGCAAAAAUUAGCCAGAUGUGGAGGUGCACGCCUAUAAUCCCAGCUACUCAGGAGGCUGAGGUGGAGAAAUGCUUGAACCCAGGAGGCAGAGGUUGCGGUGAGCUGAGAUCGGGACACUGCACUCCAGCCUGGGUGACAAGAGUGAGACCGUCUCAGAAAAAAAAAAAAAGUUAAAAAAAGGACAAAUACUCUGAUUUCACUUGUAUGAGUUAUUUAGAGGAUUCAAUUCAUAGAAACAGAAAGUAGAGUGGUAGGUACUGAGGGAUAAGGGGUGGUAGGAAUGGAGAGUUAGCAUUUUAAUGGGCACAGAGUUUCAGUUUUGCAAGAUGAAAAGAGUUCUAGAGAUAGUUGUACGACACUGUGAAUACACUUAAUGCGCUUAAAAAUGGUUAAAAUGGUACAUUUUAUGUUGCAUAUAUUUUACUGCAAUUUAAAAAAGAGCAUGGGGGCAUCAAGGGUUUAGUCCAGCCUUCUGGCUUGUGGGCAGUAGAAGAGAGCUGUGUUCUUGAUGGGCCUGAGCCACCAAUGAUGGCUGUGUGGCCACAGCUUGCCCUGUCCCGACAGACACCAGUUCCAACGACCUCUCAUCUAACUUUCAGGUAAUGUGACUGAAUGAACUCCAUCAGCAGAUCAUUUGCUGGUGCUUAGACCAAGCCAAUACUGCUAGGAUUAACAAGAGUGGCCUGGCAGGAAGCAUCAGAUCAUGAAUCACUAAAGUCAAAGUUGUCUUCAGUCUGUGGCCAAAAUCACCGCCCACUGGAUUAAAGGGAGAGAACUACUGAUGAAAGCAGCAACAUGGAAGAGUCUCAGAAGUGCUGUGCUGUGUGAAAGAAGUCAGACGCUGGAGUACUGACUCAAUGAGCCCACUGAAAAAAAUGAGAACAAUGGCUGCUAGAAAUGAGGGAAUGGACGGACCAUGGGUGUGGGGCUGGUGGGAAGGGCCAUGAGAGAAGAUUCAGGAGUAAUGGAAAUAUUUUGUAUUUUGAUGAGGGUUUCGGCUAUGUGACUGUAUUUUUAAAACUCAUCAAACUGGACACAAGAUCUAUUCAGAUAUGCUUCACUGUAUGCAAAUUUGACCUCUAAAAUAGAACUAUAAACAAAUAUUGAGCUCUAGCUAAUGCUUGACACGCAUGCUGAAGUAUUAGGGGUGAAAUGUACUGAUGCCUGCAACUUACUUGGAAAUGCAUCUAAAAAUAUGGUGAAUUGGCACAUGAGGAGAGAUGUGUGAUGAGAAAAACAGUGGCAAUUGUAGAAUCUAGUGGGUACGUAUCUAGCAGGUGUGUAUCUAGUUGUUAACAAUUCUUUCAACUUUUCUGUGUGUUUAAAACUUUCCCCAUAAAAUGUUGAGAUGAAUAUAAUUAUAGAAGUUAUAGUUUAAGACAAAUUAAACUACUUAGUCCUUAUAACGUUGUAGGAUCAGAAUAUUAAAGCAGUAUGGCCAUUUGGUAUCAGCUAAAAUCGUGGUUCUCAAACUAUGUUCCCUAGAAGUAUUUCAGGGAUCUCCUCCCCGUCAGGCAAAAUAGCUCUCCUUUAAUGAGUUUUACAUACUGGGGUCCUCUGUAAGAUUUUUGUUUCAAAAAAAAGGUCCAUUACUUGAAAAAGUAAGUGCUUCUCAAUACCAUGUUAUAUCAGCAUUUGAAACAGACAAUUUGAGUAAGACUGCCACUCGAAUUGCUGUGCCUCUGCAUUGCUGGUCUUCAGACAUCAAAAAGCAGUGGCAUCUACCCCAUGAUUGGAAUAAUUUUGAACACCCCCACACAUUUUCGACUUGGCCCCUAUGCCACUGAUCUGCCCAUUGCCACUUUAGAGUUAGCACCAAAUCUAACAAAUCCAGGUCAACAGGUCUGUAUUUAAGUGGAGAAAGUUUUUCCACAAUAGUACAUUGUCUGAAAUUUUUAUUGAGUGUUCAAAAUAGUAAAAGAAACACUUAGAGGGUGUUUUUGUUUUUUUGUUUUUUGGGUUUUUUUUUUUUUUUUUUUUUGCCAUCCAAGUACAAUUCUCUUUAAAAGAAACAAUCAUCACUGGGGCCUCCCAUCUUUCCAGCUGGAGAAGAUGCUCUCUCCUGGUAAAUGAAUGGCUUCUGGAUAUUUCUUGGAUACUCAUACGACUUAACUCCAGGAAGGGAAAGACUGCCGCGAUUGUGCCAACAUUUGUGCAUCUGGUCUACUUGAAAAUUCCACUUACUGUUGUAAAGGGAUAAGUUGGCAUUCUGGUAUCUCAAACAUAAAAAUUUUUAAAAAUCACAGUGCUUAAAAUCCAUGAUGAAGCCCAAAUAGAGUGCCACAUGUUAAGGAGGAACAUCAUUGGCUUAUACGUUGGUAUCUCCCACCCUCUCCUGGGGCAGUCCCCUGAAAAAGAGCAGGGGUCAGGUGGCACCCCCACUUCCCACAGAAAAGCUGCUGUCACAUGGUUUUCCUAUAGGAAUGUGCACGUGGAAAACGAGUGGAAAGCAAGCCGGAACAGAUGUCUAAUAUCAUUAAAGCUGGUUCAAAAGAAUCCAGAUCUCAGUUUGGUAUAUUAAUGCUCUAUUUAUCUUUAAGCACAGAUGGAUAUUUUUAUUGGUAUUACUUUGUUUAUCUGGUUUUAAGAAAGGUUAGUCCAGGGGGCAGAUGCCUCUGUUAUGAGAGUGCAUUCCUGUGAGGGAGUUAGAAGAGAGAGGCAGCUUUUUUCAGUAGAACUUUAAUUAGGAAAGCCAGAGUUGUAUAUGUUGGCAGCUCUUGCCCGAUUUAAUGAGACCAGUUGCAACAACAAACAGAAAGACAAAUAGGACAUUGGUGAGCCUAGAGUUUCCCACCUCUUCUCCUCACCAGCCGAAGAGAAAAACAACACAGCACCACUGCAUUCCCCAGUGCAAAAUAGACCAUGACAGAAUCUAAAUUCUCUAGAAAGGGAUGCUUCACAAAUAGACCGCUACCACCUAAGAUAACCAAGAGCAAUAGAUCUGUUACCAGGGUCUUGGUUAUGAACACGUGGACCUUCUAGAAGCUUCUGGGUAAAGUGAUUUCCAUGUGGCUUCUGGACUGGUGUGGCUUUUAUUAGAUGAUAGCCUGGGACCCUGGGGGGGAUGCCCAGGCUCUGUUCGCAAUUGUUACCUCUAAGUUUGCUUUUACUGGAGUUGAUCUCUAAUUUAGUCUCUCUUCGUGGAGGAGUUAAACAGGAUUAUGGAUCCACAUGUCCAGGAAAUUCCUUCCUGAAUUGGAUUAGGAGAUUUCAUUUGCCUGAUGGAUCUCCCAGAAAUAAUUGCUAACAUGUACUCAAUGUGUGUGUCUUCUUCAUCAACAGCAUAACUCUUUAUUACUCAUCUUUUUGUUUAAUCUUCCUUCUGCCAUCCUCUUUAGACAUGUACAUAUGCAACUGUAAUUGUACAGAGAAAAGAGAAAAGGUUUUAACAUCCAAAAAUUUGGGUUUGAGAGUCGUUUCUAACACACGCCUUGGACACACACUUACCUGCUCCCUCUAAUAAUUCUCCUACCUUUAAAAUAAGAAUGAGGCUGGGCACUGUGGCUCACACCUCUCUAAUCCCAGCACUUUGGGAGGCUGAGGCUGGUGGAUCACUUGAGGUCAGGAGUUGGAGACCAGCUUGGUCAACAUAGUGAAACCCCGUCUCUUCCAAAAAUACAAAAACUUAGCUGGGUGUGGUGGCGCACACCUGUAAUCCCGGCUACCCAGGAGGUUGAGGCAGGGGAAUCGCUUGAACCCAGGAGGCAGAGGUUGCAGUGAGCUGCAUUCCAGCCGGGGUGACAGAGCGAGACUCCAACUCAAAUAAAAAAACAAAGAUGUUUCAAAAUCCUAAGAAUGAACGUUCCUAUCCAACUCACCUUACAAAGUUGUUGUGAAUGUGCAAACUCAUUGCGUUCCCUUCAGAACCUCACUCUGCCUCUUGGACAUCAUAUUUCUCCUUCCUCAUGCAGGCCUCUUCUUAGUUUCUCUUUUCCCUUACUCCAGGUAUCCAUCUACUCUCUCUCCAAAGCUCCUCAUCUUUCUACUCUGAAUUUCGUCUCUUUCAAUCUUAGUACCCCUGUCUUCUGCUACUGCAGAGACCUCCCCACUGAUCUGCCUGCCCAGGUAUCUUCUCCUGGUACAUCUGACACACACUGAUCUAGGUACACCUAGCUGAUCCAGGUGAACCUGCCUGAUUCAAAAACACACUUCUCUAUGCAGUGGCUUUUAAUGGCUCUAAAUAGCAUAUUAUCUUAGUUCGACAUAUUUUGCUACAUAAAAAAUAAGACACAGACAUCUCAGCCCACUGUAAACAUCCCCUGGAAGACUCACUCCACAUUUCCACUAUGAUUUCUCCAACCAUUCCCCUUCAAACAAGGUGUGCUUUUGCCAAUCUGAAACCCUGUCCACCCAUUCAUAUUGCUGUCAACAUUCACCCUUUGCUUCUGCUGCCAGGGGUCCUUCUUGCCAAAACACCUUUUGGAUUCCCCUCCUCUACAUGUUCAGGUCCUCUCAAAGCUCAGCUCUAAUGCAUCCUGUAUGAAGCCAUUCCAUUUUCAACGUCACAGGAAGCAGUUCUCCUCUUUACCCCAUUAUCUGUACCUCUCUCGUUGCACUUAUUUUCACUUUCCCUGCCAUUUGUUUAGUUAUGAUAGUUAUUUACUGCAUGGCUGUUAGUAUAAUAAAGUCCAUGAGGGUGUGUCCUGUGUCUGAUUCAUUUUUCAGCACCUGGAGCAGCUAGCACACUAUGGACUCUGUGUACAUACACCAUAUCAAGAUGUGCCAUUUUGAGCCUGAACAAAUGUCUACUACCAUGAAGCUGGCAUGUCUGUACAUGUCUGGCCUUUCCAAUGCCAAUUUGCAUUAACAAAAUGAGGUGCCCUCUGGAAAAUAACCUAUUAUAAAAGAGAGAAGGUGAGGCAGAAAAGCUUGGCCGCAUAAUAAAACCUUAGUCAUAGCAGUCAUGGCAGCAAAUGCUUGGAUUUUUGAGUACAGUAUUAUAAGGUUUGCCUUUCAGCUUUGUCUGCUUGCCCAAAAACUGUUUACUAAAAAAAUCACUGGAACAUAGCAGGGCAAUUUUUAAAGUCCAUAUGAAAAUGCUGGAAAUGGAGAGAAAGCAUUCUCCUGACUGUACAGAAUGUGAAAAGCUCUUGACCCUCAGAGGUCUCCAAAGGACAUGGGACUGUCACUUUGGUGACUUGAGGAUGCAAAACUCUGAUGGAAGCAGGAGAAAUGAGGAAAAAAAUGCAGAUGCUAUGCAAGACCUAACAAUUUAUUAGUGAACUCAUCUGAGACACCUCUGGAGACCCCCCCAGAAGUAAUUUGUGGAGAGCAGGGAAUUGCAGAGCCUAGAGAUCCUGCAAUAGCAGGUAGAGAUGAGAGCAAAGGAAACAGAUAGCAUACUGCAGGAAUGAGGAGAUAAGAGAAUUCAGUGAUGUAUACAAAGGAAUUUGUCAAGACACAUACAGUCCCCAGCUUCAGGUUGUAAUGAUGAAUUGGUUCUGUGGGUUUCUCUUGGUUAUAGAAACACAGUCUCACAAUCUUGGGUCUUGUCACUCUAGAAUUAACCUGUCUCCCAGGACCUCCGCUCCCUCUUACAUUAAAUUUUCCACUUUUUUUUCAUCUUUUUCUCUUUAUGUGUUACAUCUAUUUGCAUCAUCUCCUCUAAAGCAGCUAUAAAUAUGUCUACUGAGCCAUGGGGACCCAAGUCACCAGUCACAAGGACCUUUUGUUUGUCAUUGCAAAUAUUGGCUAUCAGAUAUGAGCAAAAAGAGAAAAAAAACAUGAUGUAUGUCCCUGGAGUUUGGGAACUGGUUGAAACGGUGGUAGGAGAGAGGGAGAGGAAUUGGAAAGAUAGACUAUCCUGCUUAACUGCUCCUCAUUUCUCAUGCCCGAUGAUUAUUAAUUACAUUUGUGCAUUGAUACAAUUUGCUAGUUUUCUGAGUAGGCGAAUUGCGCUUAGUCAUCUUGGCAUUUUUAAAUGUAAAUGAAAAAUCACCCAGUGCUCUGAGCCAGAAGCGAGAAAGAUAAAUAACACCAGGAAGCUGGUCGUUGCCCGUCUGUCAUAAAAUUUCAUUAGUUUUGACAGCCUGUACAACAGAAGCAAUGAAUGAAUGCUAACUACACUUCCUCGUCUGUCCGC